UUUUUUUUUUUUUUUUUGAAAGAAUGAGGUUUUUGGCUUGAGGGAAAGAAGAUACAAUGUAAAAUCAACGAAGUUAAGGAAAAACCCUGUCGUUUCUGAAUGUGAAGUAGGAACUCAUGAUUUUGCAUAUAUAUGUUUUAAAGUAACAUGUCCUAGGAAUUCUCAUCAUGGUGCAGUGGAAACGAAUCCAACUAGUAUCCAUGAGGUUGCGGGUUCGAUCCCUAGCCUUGCUCAGUGGGUUAAGGAUCCAGCGGUGCCGUGAACUGUGGUGUAGGCCACAGACGUGGUUCGAAUCCUGUGUUGCUGUGGCUGUGGCGUAGGCUGGCAGCUAUAGCUCUGAUUCGACACCUAGCCCGGGAACCUCCAUAUGCCGCUAGUGUGCCCCUAAAAAGAAAAGAAAAGAAAAAAAGGUAAUAUUUCCUAACUCUUUAUCUUCUGAAAAGACCAAAGAAUAAUGACCGGCCCCGUAGCAGUGAACACCCUAGUGCCUUGAUUGUGGUGCCUGGAUUGUAGCCUCUAGGUGUCUUUUCUCAAUAAAGGAACCAGAGGCCCCUGGAGAAAUGACUGAUUCUAGGUCUGGGGCAGGAAGCAUAUGAGAUGAGUCUGGGACAUCUUGUCACAGGGGAAGUCAAAGAAGCAACUACUAACAGUCAUCCACCGAAAGGCCACUGAGGACAGGUGGCUUUUGAGCUGAAACGUGAAGAACAGAAGAGAGGCGGCCAUGAAAAGAUCUAGAGGGAACACCAGGGGCAAAAGCCCUAAGCCUGCUCGAGAUGGAGAGAGAAGCCCAGUGCGGUGUCCUGGGCAGGGAGAGGCGACGAGACAGGCCGAGAGGGAGGCAGGAGCCCCCCAGACACAGCGGAUUUUUUUCUCCUAAGUGCAAUAAGAAGCCACUGACGGGUUUUAAGCAGGCAAUGACAUCACCCCAAUUAGAUUUGCAAAAGAUCCUUCCAGCUUCGGGGGGGGGGGAGGAUGACUGGGAAGAGGGCAAGAACAGCAGCCCAGCUGAAAGGCCCCUACAUUCCUCCAGGCAGGACAUGGUGGGAGCCUGGACCAGGGCUGGGGGGAGGGGGAGACAGGAUGGGGAGACACGGUGAAGGGGUGAAAAGUCGGAUGCAGGAGCCUUUCGAAGGGGGACCCAGUAUGACUGGCUGGUGGAUUGGGGAUGGGCGGGAGGAGAAAUGAAGGAUGACCCCUAGGAUUUUAGGCUUCCCACAGUAGGGUGGGAAGGAGGUGAGGAAGACGAGGCACGAGUGACGUGGGAAGGUGGGGGUGGGGGGCAGUGGUACGUUGCGAUGGGGCUGGAGAGAUGGAGUGGGUUGGAGAGAUACGUGAGUCUGGAGAUCAAAAGAGAAUCGGCGGGGCAGGUAUAAACACAGGAUCCACCCCAGAGAGAGACGGUGUCCUAAGACGUGGGACUGAACACGAUUGUGUAGGGACUGGACGCAGACAGGAGAGGGAAGGGAGACAAACACACAGUCGUGAUUUACUCCAACGUUCAGAAGUCAGGAGGAAGACGAGGAGCCAGCAAAGAAGGCUCAGGAAGAGCCAGCAAGGUUGUGGGUGGGGAGCCAGGAGUCCCUGAGGUCCCCAAAGGCAAGGAGAAUGCAGUCAAGGACCAGAUCAACUGUGUCAAAGGCUGCUGAGCGUUUGUGAUUCUCUCAAGCAGAUGGAGUGGCUCAAAAGACAGUGGGCAGGGAGUUCCCGCGGUGGCGCAGUGGUUAACGAAUCCGACUAGGAAUCAUGAAGCUUGCGGGUUGGAUCCCUGGCCUCACUCAGUGGGUUAAGGAUCCGGGGUUGCCGUGAGCUAUGGGGUGGGUCACAGACGCAGGUCGGAUCUGGUGUUGCUGUGGCUCUGGUGUAAGCCAGCAGCAGUAGCUCCGAUUAGACCCCUAGCCUGGGAACCUCCAUACGCCACGGGAACAGCCCUAGAAACGACAAUAAUAAUAAUAAUAAUAAUAAAGCGAGAGACAUGCAACUCUCCCUUUCACCUGAACACUUGGAGGCCACUGUAGGGUUAUUCACUGGCCUAACUUCGAUAUUACUGUGUCUCAGGGAAAAGGGAGGCCUGAGGAGAGGGAAAGANNNNNNNNNNNNNNNNNNNNNNNNNNNNNNCAGAACACACAUUUAUCAAUGAGGUUCCUGGUCUUACACAGUUUAUGGGGCCCACAAUAAACAAGAUAACAGUGAAGAUCACUGAGCACAAAGCACCGCAAUAAAUAUAGUGCUCAUGAAAAAGUCUGGGAUGGCAAGAGUUACCAAAAUGUGACACAGAGACGCAAAGUGAGCAGAUGCUGUUGGGAAGAAGGCGCCAACAGACUUGCUCAGCAUGGGGAUGCCACAAACCUCAAUUUGUUUAAAAAAAAAAAAAAAGGUAGUAUCUUCAAAGCAAAGUGCAACCAAACAAGGUAUCCCGUCGUGCCUGGGGCGAGAAACCCUGCCUAGAAACACAAAGUAUUCACAUUGGAGGAAACCCCUCACAUUACCCUAAAAUGCCUUCGUUUUACUAAGGGGUACACUGAGACCCGGAAAAGGAGGCCUCCUGCCCAGAGACGUGGAAUACAGGAGGGGCAGAGCUGCGACUAACACCCAGCUCUCCUUCGCCCGGGCUAGAGUUUGGGCCGCCAAACACGAGACCGCACAUGGCUGGAAAGGAGGCUAGAUUCCAUAAGCUGCCAAAGGAGAAAAGAAACCUCCUUCCCACCCCCAGGAACACACACGGUGAUCGCCGCCAAAGCCAGAGACUAACAGCAGGCAGCGGUGGCUGGCUGAGAACCGCCUCUAACCCUGGUGCUUGGUACACGGCCUGUACCCAGCCCUGACUGCCACAUCACAGCCGUAAGCCGCGUGCUGCCCACCAGCCGACUUCACGCUGGGCUGGUGGCCCCGACUGUGAAAGAGGCACGCCCUCUCCUCUAAAUGCCUCGGCAACCACGGCGAUGUUCUCUGCUCCCCUUGGAGCAGGGAUCACAGGGCUCCAGCCGAGGGGUGUCGCCUGCCUGCUACAGACGGGCAUGGCAGUGCCAGAACAAAGAAAGGAGGAGCGCAGGGAUCCACGCUUCCAGCAGCUUCGCAGGCAGCCCGCAGCGCUGCCAACCAGCACCCCCGGAAAGGUGCUGCUCCCUUCGGCUGGAGCGAGGGAGGGAGGAGGGGGAAAAAAAUGGGUCACUGCUUGAAACACUUAUUCACAGCUAGAAUCAAGACCUUGUCCACAGGCCCCCGGCAAAAACUGAGUAUCCUGCAUUCUGAAGGGUAGCAGAACUGCUACCCGCCUCUGGGAGCUUAAGAAUUUGGUGAAUUUUUCCCACAGAAACCAAUUUAAGGGAAUCAAUUGAGCAUCUACCUGUCCUUCCCAGGUCCUGCGGUGACCAGUAACCCAUUUUGCAUCUAGACUUGGGAUUCCUGAGCCAACGAAGGCAGCCUGCUGGUGGCUGAAAUGAAAGCAACCAAUUUUAUCCAAGACUCUGCUGUUUGGAAAGCAUUUGCACAUCCUGAACCAGACAGAAACAUCACAACCAUCCAGAGAGAGGUGCUAAGCAGGGAUUUUGAGCUGCAUUUAAUGGAUGGGUGUGUGGGCUCAGAGGCAAUGGUGGUUUGUCCAAAGUCACACACCGGGUCGGUGGGAGAGCUGAAGUUCAAAUUCGGGCCUUGUAAUUCUCCGCCUUCUCUCCACCACAUAUGGGCUGGUGGAAAGGUUGCUGGCCUGAUCGAGGUCCGGUCCACUGGUCACCCUUGCCCCCAAACUCUUUAGUAAAAGCGGUGGGCUCCCACCCUCGGUCCAGAUCCCUUUCUCCAGCCUUCUCUGUGCCUCUAGCGGCCGACAACAACGCACCUCCAUCUUCUGAUGGGGCCUGGCCAGUCGGGAGCCUCAGCAAGACCAGAGGGAGCGACGAGAGGAUGAUUUCUUCAGGCCGCCUGGUCCCUCGAGCCAAGGCCACUGGUUCUCUCCAGACGGCUCUCCGUCUCCGCAGUGCUCUCCUCACACCCCAGCAACUGCUUCCGCCCCCAUCCCUUGCAACCCAAGGGUAGUAACCGCUAAUCAAAACACAUGGCAUGUCGCAUGUGCACAAAAAACUAAGGAGAAAAAGAAAACGGGCUGGAGGAUGGAGAGGGCUAGGAAGAGGGAUGGGGUGAUGGCAUUUCAAACAGGGUGACCAGGAGCGCCCUCACCACGAAGGUGACAUCGGAGCAAAGACCGAAAAGCAAGUAAGUGAUCGAGCCAUGCCCGUAGCUUGGGGAAGAAUCUCCCAGACGCCCGGUGUGUUGGAGCAAUGGCAAGGGAAGCUGGAGGAGAAGAGGAAGGAGUGGUCCAGGCA
rnacentral:lncRNA from 1 species